GGAGCAUGUGGUUUAAUUCGAUGCAACGCGAAGAACCUUACCUGGGCUUGACAUCCCGAGAAUCCCCUGGAAACAGGGGACGUGCCCUUCGGGAGCUCGGAGACAGGUGCUGCAUGGCUGUCGUCAGCUCGUGUCGUGAGAUGUUGGGUUAAGUCCCGCAACGAGCGCAACCCUUGUCUUAAUUGCCAGCAUUCAGUUGGGCACUUUAAAGAGACUGCCGGUGUUAAGCCGGAGGAAGGUGGGGAUGACGUCAAGUCCUCAUGGCCUUUAUGCCCAGGGCUACACACGUGCUACAAUGGGUGGUACAAAGAGAUGCCAACUCGCGAGAGCGCGCCAAUCUCAGAAAGCCAUCCUCAGUUCGGAUUGGAGUCUGCAACUCGACUCCAUGAAGUUGGAAUCGCUAGUAAUCGCGGAUCAGCACGCCGCGGUGAAUACGUUCCCGGGCCUU
rnacentral:rRNA from 1 species